UCGCGGCUGGACUAUUUAUUACCUUUGUCUUUUGCGCACUUGUUGUUUCCUGGGCGGGUUCGCUCGCCACCAGGACCACAAUAUAAACCUUUUUUAUGCAGUUGCAAUCAGCGUCAGUAUAACANAUGUAAAUCAUUUACAACUUUCAACAACGGAUCUCUUGGUUCUGGCAUCGAUGAAGAACGCAGCGAAAUGCGAUACGUAGUGUGAAUUGCAGAAUUCAGUGAAUCAUCGAAUCUUUGNACGCACAUUGCGCCCUUUGGUAUUCCAAAGGGCAUGCCUGUUCGAGCGUCAUUUGUACCCUCAAGCUUUGCUUGGUGUUGGGCGUUUUUGUCUUUGGCCCGCCAAAGACUCGCCUUAAAAUGAUUGGCAGCCGGCCUACUGGUUUCGCAGCGCAGCACAUUUUGCGCUGCAAUCAGCAAAAGAGGACGGCAAUCCAUCAAGACUCCUUCUCACGUUUGACCUCGGAUCAGGUAG
rnacentral:rRNA from 1 species